GCCAUGCAUGUCUAAGUAUAAGCUUGUUUAUACGGCGAGACUGCGGAUGGCUCAUUAAAUCAGUUAUAGUUUAUUUGAUGGUCUCUUUUGUCUUUUUUUACCUACUUGGAUAACCGUGGUAAUUCUAGAGCUAAUACAUGCGCAAGGUCCCGAGCGCGGGGGAUGGGGCUUCACGGCUCUGUCCUCGCAUGCGCAGAGGGAUGUAUUUAUUAGGUUAAAAACCAGCGUAGCCAGCAAUGGCUACUAUCUCCUGGGGAGUCUUAUAAACUCUUUUUGAUAGCAUUCUUGUCCUCCUUGUGGGGACAGCGACAAUACUUUCAAAUUUUUGCCCUAUCUACUUUUUAUGGGGGGAGAUAGGCCUACCCUGGGCGUAACGGGUAACAGAGAAUUAUGGUUCUAUUCCCGAGAGGGAGCCUGAGAAAUGGGUACCCCUUCUAAAGAGGGCAGCGGGCGCGCAAAUUACCCAAUCCCCACACGGGGAGGGAUAGAGACUAAAUAACAAUACACGCGCUCUAUAUAAGACUUGUGAUUGUAAUGAGUACACAUUAUACCCCUUUACGAGAAACACUUGUAGGGGAAGUCUGGUGUCCCCACCCGCGCUAAAUCUAGCUCUAAUAUAGUAUAUAAAAGAUGUGGCGCUUAAAAAGCUCUCAUAUGUAUAUCUGGGGGCGCAUUUCUAGCGCCCCCGUGUUCUGGUCAAACCGGCGACUGCGUUGGCGUUGCGGGCUCGGUCCGUCGGUGCCCCACAAAGGUUAUCGGCGUGUCAACCGGCCCGCCCGUCCCCUCCUUCUGGAUUCCCGUUCCUGCUAUUGAGUUAGUGGGGACGUCACAGGGGGUCCAUCAUCGACGUGUCAACGCGUCUGUGGGGGAGAUCUGGGGGGCCCAUAGCUUACCCCGAAAAAAUUUUAGAGUGCUCAGCACGCGCAUACUCUUUUCUGCCCCCCAAUACAUUAUAAUGGGAUAAUGGGAAAUGAGACUGUGCCCCCAUUUUCUCUUGGGUUUGGGGCCGCGAGGACUCUGGGGAUGAGUUUUAUGGAUAGAUGGGGGGGUUUUUAUAUAAUUGUGUCAGAUGAGAUUCUCGUAGAUUUGAAAGAGUACUUCUGCGCAAACAUCUGUCCCGGAUGUGUUCACUAUACUCAAGCGCGAGUGAUGGGGAUCGACAAUAUGCAAUAGUCUCAUACUCAUCCUAUACGAUACCCCACCGAUAUAAGACACUGAGUAUACACACACCAUCUCCGCGCGCGAGUCUUCGCGCGUGUGUGCUCGAGCGAGCGAGCGAGAGCUGUAGUUUAGCCCGAUGGCACCGGUGAAUGACUCCCCUAGCAGCUUGUGAGAAAUCAUAAGUCUUUGGGUUCCGGGGGGAGUAUGGUCGCAAGGCUGAAACUUAAAGGGAAUUGACGGAAGGGCACCACCAGGAGUGGAGCUGCGGGCUUAAUUUGACUCAACACGGGGAAACUUACCAGGUCCGGACAUAGUAAGGAUUGACAGAUUGAUAGCUCUUUCUUGAUUCUAUGGGUGGUGGUGCAUGGCCGUUCUUAGUUGGUGGAGUGAUUUGUCUGGUUUAAUUCCGUUAACGAACGAGACCUUAACCUGCUAAAUAUGCCGCGCUAACCCGUCCAUCAAAACCCAUGCGUGGCUCACGCGGUCCGCUGCGGGGUGGUGUCGCUUCGCGGCGACGUCAUUCCGCCGGCAGGGCCCGGGUCCGUGUGGGCGGUAGGGUUCGGCGUCCGUGCUUCUUAGAGGGACUGCUGCGCGCCUAGCCAGCGGAAGUUUGAGGCAAUAACAGGUCUGUGAUGCCCUUAGAUGUUCUGGGCCGCACGCGCGCUACACUGAUUAAUCCAACGAGUCCGCUUCAAUCGAGGCGUGGCGCCUGUCGGGGUCAAACCCGAUAGUCGCGUCGCUGUCCUCGAUCGCGCCUGGGCCGAUAGGUCCGGGUAAUCUUUGCAAAUUUAAUCGUGCUGGGGAUAGAUCAUUGUAAUUAUUGAUCUUCAACGAGGAAUUCCUAGUAAGCGCGAGUCAUCAGCUCGCGUUGAUUACGUCCCUGCCCUUUGUACACACCGCCCGUCGCUCCUACCGAUUGAAUGGUCCGGUGAAAUCCUCGGAGCCGUGGCCUGUACGCAAUCCGGGCAACCGGGUUGUGAGGU
rnacentral:rRNA from 1 species